AUGUACCGCUCGUACACUGCGGUUCUGAGCGCGCCGUGCGCACCUACUUGACGACUGC
rnacentral:sRNA from 1 species